UACGUAGGGGCAAGCGUUGUCCGGAAUUAUUGGGCGUAAAGGGCGCGCAGGCGGCCUCUUAAGUCUGAUGUGAAAUCUUGUGGCUUAACCACAAGCGGUCAUUGGAAACUGAGAAGCUUGAGUGCAGAAGAGGAGAGUGGAAUUCCGCGUGUAGCGGUGAAAUGCGUAGAGAUGUGGAGGAACACCAGUGGCGAAGGCGACUCUCUGGUCUGUAACUGACGCUGAGGCGCGAAAGCGUGGGGAGCGAACAGGAUUAGA
rnacentral:rRNA from 1 species